GACGAACGCUGGCGGCGUGCCUAAUACAUGCAAGUAGAACGCAGUUGCGAACGGGUGAGUAAUGCGUAGGUAACUGCCUCAUAGCGGGGGAUAACUCUUGGAACCGAUAGCUAAUACCGCAUACUGUGAGAUGGACCUGGGUUGUAUUAGCUAGUUGGUGAGGUAAAGGCUCACCAAGGCGACGAUACAUAGCCGGCCUGAGAGGGUGAUCAGCCACACUGGGACUGAGACACGGCCCAGACUCCUACGGGAGGCAGCAGUAGGGAAUCUUCGGCAAUGGGCGGAAGUCUGACGCAGCAACGCCGCGUGAGUGAAGAAGGUUUUCGGAUCGUAAAGCUCUUUUGGUAGAGAAGCUGUAAGUAACCAGAAAGGGACGGCUAACUACGUGCCAGCAGCCCGGUAAUUC
rnacentral:rRNA from 1 species